rnacentral:rRNA from 1 species
GAUGAACGCUAGCUACAGGCUUAACACAUGCAAGUCGAGGGGAAACGACAUCGAAAGCUUGCUUUUGAUGGGCGUCGACCGGCGCACGGGUGAGUAACGCGUAUCCAACCUGCCCACCACUUGGGGAUAACCUUGCGAAAGUAAGACUAAUACCCAAUGAUAUCUCUAGAAGACAUCUGAAAGAGAUUAAAGAUUUAUCGGUGAUGGAUGGGGAUGCGUCUGAUUAGCUUGUUGGCGGGGUAACGGCCCACCAAGGAUACGAUCAGUAGGGGUUCUGAGAGGAAGGUGCCGCACAUAGGAACUGAGACACGGUCCAAACUCCUACGGGAGGCAGCAAUGAGGAAUAUUGGUCAAUGGACGGUAGUCUGAACCAGCCAAGUAGCGUGCAGGAUGACGGCCCUAUGGGUUGUAAACUGCUUUUAUAAGGGAAUAAAGUGAGUCUCGUGAGACUUUUUGCAUGUACCUUAUGAAUAAGGACCGGCUAAUUCCGUGCCAGCCGCCGCAGUAA